rnacentral:rRNA from 1 species
AGAAUCAACGCUGGCGGCGUGCCUAACACAUGCAAGUCGAACGAGAAAGUGGAGCAAUCCAUUAGUAAAGUGGCGCACGGGUGAGUAACACGUGACUAACCUACCCUUGAGUGGGGGAUAACCUAGAGAAAUCUGGGCUAAUACCGCAUAAUACCUUCGGGUCAAAGGAGCAAUUCGCUUAAGGAGGGGGUCGCGGCCGAUUAGUUAGUUGGCGGGGUAAUGGCCCACCAAGACUAUGAUCGGUAUCCGGCCUGAGAGGGCGCACGGACACACUGGAACUGAAACACGGUCCAGACUCCUACGGGAGGCAGCAGUGGGAAUUUUGCGCAAUGGGGGAAACCCUGACGCAGCAACGCCGCGUGGAGGAUGAAGCCCCUUGGGGCGUAAACUCCUUUCGAUCGGGACGAUAAUGACGGUACCGAGAGAAGAAGCCCCGGCUAACUUCGCGCCAGCAGCCGC